rnacentral:lncRNA from 1 species
UACAAAAUAUUGGGUCACACAUUUUCGAAUAUCUCCUUAUAAACUACAUUUGAAGUGGUGCUGAUACAAUCUCCAUUGUCAUCCGUUAAUAAUUUCUUCAGACCAUCCCUUGAUGUAACACGUGAUAUUGCAACAUAUAGCUGCCCAUGUGAGACGACCGACUGUGGAAGAUAGAUGCCAACUUGCUUAAGUGAUUGUCCCUGACUUUUGUUUAUA